AAGAAGUCAGGCCGGAUUAAGCCAUAGUACGGUAAGAGCUAUGCUGCCUGUGAGCCCCGUCUAAGGACGUAAAAUGAAGUCAGGCCGAAAGCCACGGCUUGAGCAAACCGUGCUGCCUGUAGCUCCAUCGUGGGGAUGUAAAAACCUGGGAGGCUGCAACCCAUGGAAGCUGUACGCAUGGGGUAGCAGACUAGUGGUUAGAGGAGACCCCUCCCGAAACACAACGCAGCAGCGGGGCCCAACACCAG
rnacentral:lncRNA from 1 species